UUACGUGAUGACAAAGAGCCUUGACGGCUCGAACAAUUUAAACCCAGCUCGUCGAAUGUCUUAGACAUAGUGAGAAGAAACCUAUUCUGAACUA
rfam:Trichoderma gamsii strain T6085 Scaffolds0004.1, whole genome shotgun sequence.